UACGUAGGGGGCAAGCGUUGUCCGGAUUUAUUGGGCGUAAAGAGCGUGUAGGCGGUCUGUCGCGUCUGCUGUGAAAUCUCAGGGCUUAACCCUGAGCUUGCAGUGGGUACGGGCAGACUAGAGUGCGGUAGGGGAGACUGGAAUUCCUGGUGUAGCGGUGAAAUGCGCAGAUAUCAGGAGGAACACCGGUGGCGAAGGCGGGUCUCUGGGCCGUAACUGACGCUGGAGGAGCGGAAAGCAUGGGGAGCGAACAG
rnacentral:rRNA from 1 species